ensembl:lncRNA
GCAACGCAGCUGAGCGGGCCUCCGGGGCAGCGGGGGGCGAAGAAGUCUGGCGGGAGGAACGGGGGUCUGGAUUCCCACCUUCGGCUCAUUCGACACCAUCUCUAAAGACAUCAGGACUGCGGACGGGACCGUGACUCUGCGGUGGCCCGUGUUUCAGCUGGCCAGGAACCUCAGAGCCAUGCACCACCUCGGGUCCGACAAGGACUCCCUGCCAGCCCACAGGGAGGUGGAGACCCUGAAAUACAGCGAGGUGGCUGCCGCUGCCUCUGUGACCUGGCAGAGAGGGAAGACCUGCAUCCAAAGCACCGUGUCCCUCCUCUCCAACUGCCUCAAGAAUGGGGAGAACGUUGCCUUUGUCCUGAAGGACGUAGGAGUGCUCCUCUUUGAAGGCAUGAGCUUUGGAAUUAAAUACUACUACGACUUCCUUGAGAAGCUCUCUGGGAAGGAGAAAUUCAGAAAAGCUGUCUUCAAGGCCCCCUGGCUGCUGGACACGCUGGUGUCCCGGGUGGCACCGGUGGCCUUCCCUGACGCACUCUGGCCGCCUCGUCGUCUUUCCCAUGUGAGUAUGUUUGUGGCUGCAGCCGCUGCUUGAUGCAGCUGCUCAGCUCUCGUUCCAUAGCGCUUGUCCAUGGCUGUCCUGCCCGCGACGAUAUGGCACAGAACCACAGAAUCAUUUGAGCUGGAAGCAACCCUGAAAGGGCACCUAGUCCCACGCCCCUGCAAGGAACAGGGACACCUACCGCCAGAUGAGGUUGCUCUGAGCCUGGUCCAGCCUGACUGUCCGGGCAGCCACCACCUCUCUGGGCAAGACGUUCCGGUGCCUCACCACCCUCCUGCCAAAAACUUCUUCCGUACAUCCAAUCUCAAUCCUCCCUCUUUCCCUUUGAAACUAUUUCCCCUUGCCCUACCCCCAGCGGACCCUGCUAAGGACUCCAGAAAGUAGUGAGUGGCCUUAACGCAGCAGGAAAAUGUGCUGUGAGCAGACAUCACGGCCAGCAAAAAGGAUUGGCGGAGCACUGCGUCACGCCGGUGUCUGCUCCUUCUGCACAGGUUUCAGAAGCAGGUUGCACCCAAACCACCUCCCAAGAUAUUCCGCAAGGCCUCCGGAGAUCUCCAUGGUGAGGGGAAGCAAAAGAAAGAAGGGGCUUUGCCACCUCUUGUCCGGGGCAAGAAAGGUAAAGCAGCUGCCAGCUCCUUCCCAUGGCACGUGCAACCACCGUGUGAUGGGAAGUCCCUGAGCGCCCCUUGUCACUGAGCCAAAGGCUUCAGGUGAAUCUCUUCUGCCUUCCCAAUUCCAGUGAGGUUUGAUGAAGUGCCAACCUACAUCAGACGCUUCAGCAUGGCAAGUACUGCUGGACAAAGCUCGGGAAGCAGAAGAAGCUUACAGCAGAAGGAGAGCUUUUCGUCCAGGUGAGGCUGGAGGCUCCGGGCUGGCAUCAGCUCACAGGGCUGGCCCCUGUCCGGAUCUCAGGAGCGCCACGGGGCAGCCGGUGAGCUGUCUGUGGGCAAGGCUGCGUUGCAGCCAAGGGUCCUGGCUCAGGGUUGCAGGAUGCGGCCCCAAAGCCAUCACCCACUCAAGCAGAUCCCUCCCGCUCUGUCUUUUCAGUCCGCUGCCGGCGGUCCCGAGAACAUCUGAAGCCCGCGAGCAGCCAGUGAGCCGGCAGCUGCAGGGCCAGGCAGGAAACGAAGGCCAAGAACACCUGGGCCAAACAACAGGAAAAAAACACGUCAGGUUCCGCGGAGAUGAACAAGGAGCGGGACAGGACCAUGAGGCUGGAGCGGCGGCCAUGUGGAAAGCAAAGGCCUCGCACCCUCAGGUUGCCGGGAGGCAGGUGGCAUCUCGCAUCAAAGAAAGGAGAUGUUCAUUAAGGGCUGAGUCCAGCCUGUCCAGGGACACCAAAGGCCACGCAUCCCGGCCGCCGUUACUGCCACGUGACUCUGUCAAACUACUCAGGCAGAGGCAGAUGGCUAAGGAGGACAGGCCAGCGCAGGCAGAACCUCGGGAGACGGCAGCAUCACCGUUUCACCGUGAGCUGCAGCCUGCCCGAGGAGCCCUCCACCUGCAGAUCUGGUUCGCUGCCACCCAUACGCAACAGACCAGAGUCUCCCAGGAGUCCGCCUCCAAGGACCACAGCCCCGCGCCGCAGGCCGCCAACACCCUACCCGUUUCUGCCACGUGACUCUGUCAAACUACUCAGGCAGAGGCAGAUGGCUAAGGAGGACAGGCCAGCGCAGGCAGAACCUCGGGAGACGGCAGCAUCACCGUUUCACCGUGAGUGCAGCCUGCCUGAGGAGCCCUCCACCAGCCGAUCUGGUUUGCUGCCACCCAUACGCAACAGACCAGAGUCUCCCAGGAGUCCGCCUCCAAGGACCACAGCCCCGCGCCGCAGGCCGCCAACACCCUACCCACGCUGAGCAGGGCAUGGGGUGCCCGGGACAGACAGAGCUGCCCCUGAGCCUGCAAAACCCCAUCCGCAUCCUUCCUGGGUGCCAGCUCCCUCUAGAAAAGCAGAGGUAGAGGGACAGUGGGGACUGGGCUGGAUUCAAGAAAGAACAUUCACACUAGAAGCUGCGGAACAAGAUAGAUAAACGGCAUGAGAAAGGAAUGCUGAGAACUAAGGAUGCCUCCAGGAGACAAAAACAUGAGUCAAGCGAGCCACACGAUCGCCACACGAUAACAACCCUGGUUGGGGGAAGAGCGCGUGGCUACGAACAACUCGUGACACCGAUGGAUAAGCGCCUGCAUGCACGCUUAAGGAGUCGACCAGGGGCGACUGUGUGCAAUGAUUUCUUGACAUGGAAAGGGGGGUGGGAAAGUGGGAAAGAGAGAACUUGGGGAUAUUUGAACCUGCAAUAAACAAUUUGGAUCAUU